CCACAGUGCAGCCUGAGUGAUAGGUCUCACUUGCCGUAUGUUGUCGGGGAAACCGAAGCUUAGGAAGAACAAGGGAGUUGUCCAAAGUAGCCUGGCGAGGAAGCGGUGGCCUGAAGAUUGUCACCCAGGCCUGUCUGCUCUGGGCCUUGCUCUCACCGCCAGCCAGGUGGAAGGUCCCAGAGAUGUGAAAUCUCACGCCGAGCUGUCUCACACCACGCGAUAGGAGAUCAAAGAAGGAGUGGAUAUGAGGACCUCAAAGAAAACCUGUGCUUUGCCAUCCAUCCUGACCUCUCCUUCCCUCCUCUGGAGCAUCUAUAGCUAACACUGGUAUGUGUGCCUCCUGAGCUCUUGGCUUGGGAGUGGCCGGGUGACUGAGGAAUGUUAUUAUUAAUUAACUUAAAUUUACCUAAUUUAAAUUAGAAGCCAAAGCAGCAUCACAUAUUUUCCUGUUAAACACAACUGAAUUGUUAUGUAGAACUUUUU
rnacentral:lncRNA from 1 species